GAGAGAGGCACUGCUAGCAACGGCGACUGCUAAUCUCCGUCACUUCGGUUGGAGUCCGAAGCUCCCUCA
rnacentral:tRNA from 1 species